UAGGAUAUCAAGUAGUAGAAGUUGAAGCAAUGCUAGGUUUUGCUUUAUCUUCUCAACGGUUCUGUUAGUCACUAUUAUGUUGUCUUUACGAGCGGUCGUGUUAAGUUUUUUAAUCUACUCUACAUGGUGCGAAGAAUUGAGUUUUCCUCCAGACUUCAUGUUCGGAGCUGCUUCAGCUGCCUAUCAGGUGGAAGGAGGAUGGAAAGCUGCCGAUAAAGGAGAAAGCUUAUGGGAUGCACUGACCCAUGAGACCCCGAGUAAGGUCUUUGAUGGUAACACCGGCGAUAUUGCCUGCGACUCGUACAACCAAUGGAGAAGGGACAUAGAAAUGGCUGCCGAACUUGGCUUGAGCCAUUACCGAUUCUCCUUGUCUUGGACGCGAAUUCUGCCUACAGGCUUUGCGAACUACAUAAGUGAAGAUGGAAAGAAUUACUACAACAAUCUCAUCGACGGACUACUUGCAAGAAACAUAGAGCCUCUGGUCACGAUACAUCAUUUUGACUUGCCUUCCAUUUUUCAAGACAUGGGAGGCUUCACAAACCCCCUCAUUGUCGACUGGUUCGCUGAUUUCGCAAGAGUUGUGUACUCUCUCUUCGCUGACCGAGUAAAAUACUGGAUUUCAAUUAACGAGCCACUUGGACUAUGCGAUGCUGGUUACAACGGGGUUAUCGCUCCAGCCCUUCACAGUCCAGAUCUUGCCGUGUAUUUGUGCAGCAAAUAUGUGCUAUUAGCCCACGCUAAGGCCUGGAGAAUUUACGACGAAGAAUACAAGCCAAAAUAUCAUGGUAAAAUGACAAUAUCGCAGCUCGCUCUGUGGUUUGAGCCGCUGAGGGAAGAGGAUGAAGAACGAACCGCACUUAUGAAUGCCUUUUGUGAAGAAAGGUUCGGCCAUCCCAUAUUUAAAGGCAACUGGCCACCAGAUUUAGCUAUGUUAAUAGAAGAGAGAAGCUUUGAGAAGGGCUUCUCCAGGUCCAGACUACCGUCUUUUACACAACAAGAAGCAGAAUAUAUCAAAGGAACUUAUGAUUACUACGCUCUCAACCAUUACACCACAUUCUUGGUGAAGAUCGCCGAAGGAAAUGAAUCAGGCAUAUGGCCAUUCACUGGCGCGCCCGAAAUAGGUGUCGUAUUCCGUCAGGGCGAAGGCUGGGAAACUGCUGCCCCAUCUUGGUUUGGAGUGAGAACUAAUUUCCAUCUACCCGGAAGGCUUGAGAAACCAGUUGAAUUGGAUCAGGGAGAAAUACGGUGAUGUGCAAAUCUUGAUCACUGAGAAUGGAUAUGCUGACGACUCCAAUGGUCUCCGUGACGUGGAGAGAGUGCAGUACAUAAAGAACUAUUUGGGAGAGGUCCUGAAGGCUAUUAAAAUUGACAAGAUAAAUGUAACAGCAUACACGGCUUGGACCCUGAUGGAUAAUUUCGAAUGGCUGAUGGGAUAC
rnacentral:misc_RNA from 1 species